rnacentral:lncRNA from 1 species
AUACUAUGUAAAUGUUUUAAUUUCUCACUUGUUAUUUUUCUUGAAUACUUUAGAUAAGAUCUAGUAAGUGAGAUUUUUUGGAUCUGUGUUAAUUUGCCAGGUGAGAUACCCCACGAAAUCGCUAAUCUUCCAAAUCUAGAGGCUUUAGUGCUUGGAAUGAACAACCUAGUUGGUGUGUUACCAGCUCCAAUCUUCAACAUGUCAACACUGAAGGUACUUAUCCUCAUAAAUAACUCUCUCUCCGGAAGUCUCCCAUCAAGAAUAGACCUUUCACUUCCAACUAUGGAGCAUCUUAACUUGGCACUUAAUAGAUUUUCUGGAACCAUUCCUAGUUCCAUCACCAAUGCUUCUAAGCUCACCUUUAUAGAGUUGAGAGGAAACACAUUUUCGGGGUUUAUUCCAGACACAAUUGGUAAUUUAAGAAACCUUGAGUGGCUCAACUUGGCUAAUAACUCCUUGACAUCUUCAACCUCAAAAUUGAGCUUUCUUUCCUCUUUGGCAAAUUGCAAGAAAUUAAGAGUCAUAGGCUUAACAGGCAAUCCACUUGACGGCUUCCUUCCAAGUUCAAUAGGUAAUCUUUCUGUGUCUUUGGAAAUACUUUUCAUCGCCAAUUGCAGUAUUAGUGGCAACAUUCCUCAAUCAAUUAGCAAUUUAAGCAACUUGAUGAUCUUAGCAUUAGAAGGAAAUAAAUUGACUGGACCAAUUCCAAUUACAUUCGGCCGACUGCAGAAACUCCAAGGCUUACAUCUUCAAAUCAAUAAGUUGGUAGGUUCAUUCCCAGAUGAGCUUUGCCAUCUAGGUAGGCUGGCUGAAUUGGCCUUAUUGGACAAUAGGCUUUCAGGAUCUAUACCUUCUUGUGUAAGUAAUCUCACUUCUCUAAGAUCUCUCUAUUUAGGGUCCAAUAAGUUUACUUCUGUUAUUCCCUCAACCUUCUGGAGGCUAAAAGACAUCUUGUUCUUUGACUUUUCAUCAAAUUUCUUGGUUGGUCCUCUUUCUUUAGAUAUAGGAAAUUUGAAGGUGCUUCUAGGAAUAAGUUUAUCAAAAAAUAAUUUAUCCGGUGAUAUCCCAGCCACAAUUGGAGGACUGAAAGAUCUUCAAUUUAUGGACCUAGCAUAUAAUAGAUUGGAAGACCCAAUUCCCAAAUCAUUUGGUGACUUGACAAGUUUGGAGUUUUUGAAUCUGUCAAAUAAUAAAAUCUCUGGGUCUAUUCCAACAUCCAUGGAGAAACUCUUUUACCUCCGAGAGUUAAAUCUCUCUUUCAAUAAACUAGAAGGUGAGAUUCCUAGUGGAGGAAUUUUUGCCAACUUCACAGCUGAGUCAUUUAUGGGAAAUGAGUUAUUGUGUGGUUUACCAAAUCUUCAAGUCCAACCAUGCAAAAUUAGCAAGCCGAGGACAGAACAUAAAUCAAGGAAAAAGAUACUGCUCAUUGUGAUUGUUUUGCCAUUGAGUAUUGCUCUAACGAUAGCAAUCACUCUAGUUCUCAAAUAUAAGCUGAUCGAAUUUGGAAAAAGAAGCACAGUGUUAUCAAAUGAUAGUAUCUUGUCAUCACAAGCAACACUAAGAAGAUUUUCAUACUUAGAACUUUUACAAGCAACAGAUAAUUUUGCUGAAAACAACAUAAUUGGCAUAGGAGGUUUUGGUUCUGUUUAUAGAGCAAGACUUGAAGAUGGGAUGAAGAUUGCAAUAAAAGUGUUUCACCAGCAAUGUGCAAGCGCAUUGAAGAGUUUUGAGGCUGAAUGUGAAGUGUUAAAAAAUAUUCGCCAUCGAAAUCUUAUCAAAGUUAUCAGCAGUUAUUCAAACAAUGACUUCAAAGCAUUAGUCCUAGAAUACAUGUCCAACGGGAGCUUGGGGGAUUGGUUGCAUUCCAGCAAUUAUAUGCUUAAUAUAUUUCAAAGGUUGAACAUAAUGAUUGACGUUGCAUCAGCUUUAGAAUAUCUCCACUUCGAUCAUUUACCUCCUAUUAUUCAUUGUGACUUAAAGCCUAGUAAUGUAUUGUUGGACGAAAAUAUGGUUGCUCAUUUGAGUGAUUUUGGCAUUGCAAAGCUUUUAAGUGGAGAGGAUGAGUAUGUGAUGCGAACAAAAACCCUUGCCACUAUAGGUUAUAUGGCACCAGGUUUGCUUCAAACAACUUUUUUUUAGUUCAUUUUAAAUUUUCCAACUUAUUGAUUUUUACAAUCCUCACAUCAAAAUGUUAUUGAUUAUUUAUCUAAUUGUGAAAUUAAUUUGAUUCAUAGAGUAUGGCAUAGAAGGAGAAGUAUCUACAAAAAGUGAUGUGUACAGCUAUGGGAUUAUGUUAAUGGAAACUUUUACCAAGAAAAAACCCACAGAUGAAAUUUUUGUUGGAGAAUUGAGCUUAAAGCGUUGGGUUAAUGACUUGCUUCCUACUUCAUUAGUGGAAGUUGUGGACAAAACUCUGCUAAGUGGAGAGGAAAAACUUUCUGCAGCAAAGGAGCAAUGUCUGUUGUCUAUCUUUAGCUUGGCUCUGGAGUGUACAAUGGAAUCACCGGGAAAGAGGAUUAAUGCAAAAGAUAUUGUUACAGGAUUACUCAAGAUAAGAGACACAUUGAGUAAAAGGAUAGGAAACUUAAGUUAAUUUCGUUUGCUUUCAUUGAUAGUUAAUUCAAAUUCAUGUAAUAAGUGUAAGAAUCUUAUAUGCUUUCCUUAGAUUUUUUUUUGUUUGAGAAAACUGUUGUAUUCAUCUUGUUUCCAUGGGCAGAGUUGAUUUAGUUCUUCCAAGAAAUGCUACUGAUGACCUUUGUUUUAUACUUUCGCUUUUUUUUGCAUGUGUUUCGGUAGAAUAGUGGUUUGGCUCACUCAAAGAAGUCAAACUGCACUAAAAGAAUAUGAUUUAAUUUAUUAAACAAAACUUCAAGUUCAAGAAAAGUAUCUCACUGCCCCCAAUGCUUUGGACACCUAUUGGUAGGUUUGUACGUGUCCUCAACUUUUUUUUAGAGCACAAAAUUCGAGUCCCAUGGAGACUCAAACAUUCCUUUUCCGCAUCCCGAGCGUGCUAAAUUCAUCAGACUGACAAUUGGGACAUAUAGAAGAGUGAAAUGUUUGGAGCACGCUAAGUUCGAGCGAAAGAGAUUAAUUUACAGAAACUAAAGCCAAGAGAAUAAAGGACAACACUUAUGUGAAGCGACAUAAUUGUAUUGAUAGCACAAUGUCAAAUUCAUACAGAGAUCUAGUAUACUAUUUACAGCCGGUAAGGGCUAAGAAUUGAUGUAGCUAGAAUACAAAGACGAUAAGGUAUGUUGUGCACUAUUGUUUUAUUCUACGAUCAAUCUUGACCCUUGAUGCUUGGCUCUCAAUCUUGUCCAUUGAUCUUCUUUGAUUUUGUACACUUCAAGACCUUUCAGUAUCAUUCCUUGUUGUUGGUGUCUUCCGUGCUGUAGAAUUCAUAUACAAGCCUUCCCGCCGACUUGCGAAGUAUUCGUUCAUUGAUGCAUUUUAUCAAACAGCUGGGCUACUUAUACCAAACACCGCGUGGUUUAACUCCCCCUCUCUAGCUUAACUAUCUGGGAAGGCAAUUAAUUGAGAUAUGAAUUAGAAAAUUAAAUUUUAAAAAUUAUAUUCGGACUCUACAUUUUGUAAUGAACAUUGGUUUGACUUGUUAUACAUUUACGCGUACAUAAUUAAUAACCGAUUCUCAAGUGCGGACAUUCAAGAGCACUGCUUAAAGACCAAAUAUUUUGAUUUACUAUUUUUUGUCUUUCAAUUUUCUUUUACGUUCUGAUGACGUCCGCAUUUUAAAAUCCUGUGGAACAAAGGUCGAAUUGUAGAGGGUAAGCAAACAUUUAUCCGAAUUAUAUUAUGAUAAAUCCUUUUCCAAUUAGAAUUAGGAAACCAUAGAUAUACUGAUUUUUUUUGUUUAAAUGAUUUUGUGAUUUACUUGAUUGAUUGAGUGAUUGAAUAUUGUUUGAUUGCUUCAUAUCAAUUCUAGAAAGUUUAUUUCUUUGUGAAAUUUCAACGAAAUAUGUUUUUUAAAAUAAUAAAGGUGUUUUAAGUAAUUUUAAAAAAUAAAUGGACUAAUUAGAAUUAAUUAUUAAGUAAUUAACUCGAACUGUAGAGGAUAAGCAAACAUUUAUCCUAAUUAUAUUACGAUAAAUCAUUUUCCAACUAGAAUUAGGAAACCAUAGAUAUGCUGAUUUUGUUUUUUUAAUUUCUCUUUGCGAAAACGGAUUAGAGAACUAGAAAACAAUCCUAGUGAGACUAUUGUUAGGUUUAAAACACUGCAUAGAUGGUAAAAACAUGCGUGGUGAAUAUUUUGUCGCAUGCAAACUUUUUGUUUUAUGCAAAUCGUGCUGAACAUUGGGACUGAUGUUUAAGAAAAAAAUUCUGUAGUUAAAGAAAAACAAAAAAAUUCUGAUGUUUAUGCAAAAAUAGAUUACGAUAGUUUAUUCAAUUGGGAGUUUUUUUUUCUUUAAUUUUUGUUGUACUUGAUUGAGAUUUCUCCUUAGUCCUUACCGUCUUAAGUUUGGAUACCGUAGGAUUAGUAAUUUCGUACUUCCUUUGCAAGCUGAAUAUAAGGAUGAAAUUUUUUUAAGAAAUUAAAAAAAAAAGAUUAAAAAAAGGGCAUACCAGUAGGCAAUUAUAAAUUAACCACAAAUAAAUAUAAACAAAAUGUUUAUGAAGUAAAUUAAACAUGCACAUAUUAUUUUCUUUUAUUUUCUGCUUGGAAACCCAUAAAUACACUAAUCCAGUACUACUAAUUUCAGACCGAAAAAUUUGAACUCUAGGCUGCAGUUUGACUCAAAAUGAUGAUCACUGGCUUCGCACCAUUUAACCGGUAUACAUUUCUACAAACUGAACAAGGCUAUUGAUUAUUAUUAUUAUUAUUAUUUUAAUUUGUUUAUAAAUUACUAUUUUAAUUUUCACUUUUUAUUGGGUUGUUUAACGGAUUAGUGAAGUUGGUGGUCGUUGAUGCACUCACAAGGUACAAUUUUAUUUUAUAAUUUCAAAUUCGUAUUUUAAAAUGCAGGCACAUUAUGUAUACAUAAUUAUUGAUUUUCAUAUGUGGGUGUUUUGAAAUAUUGCCAAAAGACCAAACUUUAAUAAACUAUUUUUGAUCUUUUUUUUCCUUUUUAGCUAAAGUUUGAGUGAUAUCCGCAUUUUAAAUUCAUGUGGAACAAAAGCUAAUGUAUGCACAAAAUUCUUUUAUUUUUUCCGAGAAAAAUGGGUAAGAGAAGAAGAUUUUUCUCUUGAAAAAAGAAAAACCAAUACGAUGCAAGCAUAGGAAAGAGUUCAGUGUUUUGGAUUUGAAUUUAGUAUUGAGCUGAAUUUUAUGCUAAGCUCUUUUAUAGUACUGCUAAUAAUAAGCUCAGGAUUUGCUUUUGCUUUUACGUCAAGUAAAAGAAAGAGGAAACCUUUUGUUUUCUGUUUGAUUUUUGACUAUAUAUGUUACCUAUAUAGAGAGUUGAGGUAGCUGCCUUAAGUGAUGGUGAUAAAAAGAUUAAGCAACGCACACAAUCUUACUGUUGUCCAGACCAUCCAGUGAUGCUCUAGUUUUUUGGUUACAUUAGCUUUAGUGGAAAGAAGGGUCAAUUUAACAAAGACUAGAUUUGGUGGCUUACUAUAAUGCUUAUUCUCAGGGAAUCUAAUGUUAUAAGAUGAUUGAAUGAUCUUCUAUGAUUGUGUGUAGUACAAUAUAAUUGAAAGGAACCUGGGCUCCUAUGAUGAAUAACAGCAACACAUUACUAUGAUUGAGAAAACUCAGUUACAAUAAACUCUUCAUUUAUUCAUUGCUGAGAUUGAAUGGCAAACAGAGAAUAGAAUGAAGCAGAGGAAUCUCAUUGCCGGUAAAAUUGACCAUAUUUAAUGUUACUUGCAGUUUUUAUUGUAAAAUAUAUAGGUAUUGUCAAAGCCGGUGGUGGCCUAGCCAAAAUCAAAUUGGCUUUGGCAGCCGCCCAAAGAAAUAAACAAAAGAGAAAUAGAAGAAAAAGAGAUGAGGGAGAUGCCGCCUAAAGAAAUGAAGCACACGGCUUUGACUUGUUCUAAAAAAAAAAAAAGAGCCAAAAUUUUUUGCUAUAUAAAGUGGGCUUCCCACCCUCAUUUUUGCAUUCCAUUUAAGAGAGAGCAAUCUAGUAUUUUUUGAGAGAGAGUUUUGAGAGCUUGAAAUUAUAAGCUUUUGUUAUAGAAAUUUGAGAGUUUGGGUGUAUUGGGGUUUUGGGAAGUGGGCUAAAAUACUACAAUACUUGUAAUUUCUUUUUACUAAUAAAAUAUUUCCUUCUGUCUUCGCCCGUGGACGUAGGCUAAAAGCCGAACCACGUAAUUUCUAAUAUUCUCUUUUGUGAUUGUUUUUUAUUCUUCUUCCAAUUUUAUUUUAGCUGCAGUCCUGCUUCACCCACCAAUUUCCUAAUAGUGGUAUCAGAGCUAUUGGUUGUAUUUUUUGGAGUCGGGUACUAUUCACGUAAGGGUACUAUUCACAUAUAUGGUAUUGUUCACGUAUACGAUACUAUUCACGUGAAAUGGUGAGAGCGAUCCAAGAAUUUGGCGGUGCAAAAGUAGGGAAUAGUGGUGUGAGUAAAACAACUGUGUGGUUUUGUACAUGUCUAGGAAAGUUCUGUCAUAAAGACGAUAAGAGCUUAAGGAGUCUGGGUUUUAAGUGGGACCAUUGUGACCCCUCCAGUCUUUCUUGGAAACUUUCCUGGUGUGCAUAUUCACACAUACUCACAACUAUUUAAGGUGAUACACUAGUUUGUGUACAAUAUUUAUUAACAAAAUGGCGGCAAAGUAUGAAAUUAAGAAAUUUAACGGAAAUAAUUUUUCGUUGUGGAAAAUAAAGAUGAAAGCUGUAUUGAGGAAAAAUAAUUGCUUGGCAGCAAUUAGAGAAAGGCCUAUGGAGAUAACUGAUGACAAGUGGAACGAGAUAGAUGGCAACGCCAUUUCUGAUUUACACUUGGCGCAUGCAGACAGAGUAUUAUCCAGUCUGGCAGAGAAAAAUACAGCAAAGGAAAUAUGAGAUACACUCACAAAAUUGUACGAGGCCAAGUCACUACACAACAAAAUCUUCUUGAAGAGGAAACUCUAUACUCUUCGAAUGACGGAAUCUACAAUGGUGACUGACUACAUCAACAUCUUGAAAACUCUAUUUUCACAACUCACAGUGUUGGGUUAUAAUAUAGAGGAGAAUGAACGUGCAGAGCUUCUACUUCAAAGUCUACCAGAUUCGUAUGAUCAACUCAUCAUCAACCUGACAAACAACAAUCCAGCGGACAGUCUAGUUUUCGAUUAUGUUGCAGCCUCCGUAUUAAAUGAGGAGAGCAGGCGGAAAAAUAAGGAAAACAGCAAGCAAGUUCGCAUCAAGCGGAGACGCUAUUGGUGACGAGAGGGAGAUCAACGGAACGUGGCCCCAGUGAGAGUCAAAAUCAUGGUAGAUCAAAAUCUAGAAGUAAGAAGAAUGUUAAAUGCUACAAUUGUAGCAAGAAAGGGCACGUCAAGAAAGAAUGUUGGAGUAAUUAGAAGAGAAAAGAGGGCAAAGAACCUGAGUCAUCAAAUGCUCAGGGUUGUGUAGCAAGUACCUCGGAUGAUGGCGAAAUUCUCUACAGCGAGGCAACAACUGUUUCAGAAGGCAGAAAACGACUAUAUGAUGUUUGACUUAUAGACUCAGGAGCUACCUGGCACAUGACCUCUCGGAGAGAAUGGUUCCACACAUAUGAACCUAUCUUAGGAAGAUCUGUAUAUAUGGGUAAUGAUCAGGCCUUGGAGAUCACUAGUAUUGGUACUAUCAAAAUAAAAAUGUUUAAUGGUAUAAUUCGCACAAUUGGGGAGGUACGACAUGUCAACGGCUCUAAGAAAAAUCUUUUGUCUUUGGGACAAAUGGAUAGUCAUGGGUACAAAACUCAUGUGGAGAAUGGAAUUAUGAAGAUCGUUAAAGGCGCGCUUGUAUUGAUGAAGGCAGAAAAGAUCAAUGCUAAUCUAUUCAUGCUUAAAGGAGAAACACUACAGGAGGCUGAUGCGUGUGUUGCAUCAAAUGAAGAAGAGUCAACGAUGAUGUGGCAUCUCAAACUUGGCAACAUGUCGGAACAAGGUUUGAAGAUUCUCUCUAAGCAAAAAUUGCUUCCGGGGCUCAAAUCGGUAAAUUUACCAUUUUGCGAGCAUUGUGUUACAAGUAAGCAGCAUAGAUUAAAAUUCAAUAGAUCUAUUGCUAGAAGUAAAUGCAUUCUAGACUUGAUUCAUUCUAAUAUUUGAGAAUCACCGAAUAUAUCCAUAGGAGGUGCAAAAUACAUGGUGACUUUCAUUGAUGAUUAAUCCAGAAGAUGUUGGGUGUAUCCAAUUAAGAAAAAGUCAGAUGUAUUUUCAGUGUUUAAAGAAUACAAAGCGUGGGUGGAACUUGAAUCUGGUAAAAGGAUAAAGUGCUUGAGGAUAGAUAAUGGUGGAGAGUAUACAAAUGGCGAGUUUCUUGCUUUCUGUAAACAAGAAGGUAUCCAAAGGCAUUUCACGGUGGCAUACACUCCUCAAUAAAAUGGAGUGGCGGAGCGGAUAAACAGAACUCUUACAGAAAGAAUAAGAGCUAUGUUGAGGACUGCUAGUCUACCCAAUUUAUUCUGGGCAGAAGUAGCCAAAACUGCUUGUUAUAUAGUAAAUAGGUCGCCAUCUACAGCCAUUGGGCUGAAGACCGCGAUGGAGAUGUGGACUGGAAAGCCAGCUGAUUAUUCCUACCUACAUGCAUUUGGAUGUUCUAUGUACGUGAUGUACAAUGCCAAAAAAAAAACAAAGCUGAGUCCAAAAUCUAGAAAAUGUAUCUUCUUGGGGUAUGCUGAUGGAGUAAAGAGGUAUCGUCUAUGGGACCCCACUGCCCACAAGAUUGUCAUCAGCAGAGAUGUUAUGUUUAUAGAAGAUCAACUGCAAAGGAAAGAUAAGGAUUAUAGCAGUGUAAAAGAAAAGUCAAAGACUAUACUGGUAUAUGUGGAAAAUAAUCCAGAAGAUUCAGAUUCUUCUGAAGCAGCACCAGAGCACGAGGAAUGAGAACCAGUCGAGUCUGGGGCUCCAGAAGUUCGUCGGUCAACUCGUGAGAGAUGAUCGCCAACGUGGCACUCGGAGUAUGUCAUAGAGAUCAAUGUUGCAUACUAUCUUCUAAUAGAAGAUGGAGAGCCUUCAACUUUCUAUGAAGCUUUAAACAGCUCAGAUGUUGCUUUGUGGAUGACAGCAAUGCAGGAAGAAAUUGAAGCUCUACAUAAGAACAAGACAUGGGAACUUGUACCACUACUACACGGAAGAAAAGCCAUUGGAAACAAAUAGGUCUACAAGAUCAAGCGUAAUGGCAAUGACCAAGUGGAGCGGUUUCGUGCAAGAUUGGUAGUGAAAUGAUAUGCUCAAAAAGAAGGUAUUGACUUCAAUAAGAUAUUUUCGCCGAUAGUUCGACUCACAACAGUCAGAAUAAUCUUGGCAAUGUGUGCUACAUUUGACCUACAUCUAGAGCAGUUAGAUGUGAAAACUGCAUUUCUUCAUGAAGAACUUGAAGAAGAAAUAUAUGUGCUCCAACCAGAAGGUUUUAUAGAAACAGGAAAGGAAAACUUGGUUUGCAGGUUGAACAAAUCUCUAUAUGGUCUCAAACAGGCGUCGAGGUGUUGGUAUAAGAGAUUCGAUUCCUUCAUCAUGAGCCUUGGAUACAACAGAGUAAGUUCAGACCAUUGUACAUAUUAAAAAAGGUUUGAAGAUAAUGAUUUUAUUAUUUUAUUGUUGUACGUGGAUGACAUGUUGGUAGCAGGCCCCAACAAAGAUCGAGUCCAAGCAUUGAAGGCACAGUUGGCUAGGGAGUUUGAAAUGAAGGAUUUGGGACCAGCAAACAAGAUUCUAGGGAUGCAAAUUCACCGAGACAGAAAUAGCAGGAAGAUUUGGCUUUCGCAGAAGAAUUACUUGAAGAAAAUCUUGCAGCGCUUCAACAUGCAAGAUUGUAAGUCAAUUUCUACCCCACUUCCUGUUAAUUUCAAAUUAUCCUCAAGUAUGUGUCCUAGCAAUGAAGGAGAGAGGAAGGAGAUAUCUCGAGUACCGUAUGCAUCAGCAGUUGGAAGUUUGAUGUUUGCUAUGAUAUGUACAAGACCAGACAUUGCACAAGCAGUGGGAGCAGUCAGUCGAUACAUGGCCAAUCCCGGUGGAGAGCAUUGGAUAGCUGUGAAGAAGAUUCUGAGAUACAUCAGACGAACCUCAGAUGUUGCAUUAUGUUAUGGAGGAUCAGAGUUUACUGUCAGGGGCUAUGUGGAUUCAGAUUUUGUAGGAGACCUUGAGAAAAGAAAAUCUACUACUAGUUAUGUGUUCACACUUGCGGUAGCAGCUGUAAGCUAGGUUUCGAAACUGCAGACCGUUGUGGCUUUAUCUACAACAGAAGCAGAAUACAUGGCAGCUACACAAGCUUGCAAGGAAGCUAUUUGGACACAAAGAUUAUUGGAGGAGCAUGGGCACAAACAACAGAAAAUUCAUGUGUUUUGUGACAGUCAGAGUGCCUUGCACAUUGCAAGGAAUCCAGUCCUUCAUUCCAGGACAAAGCACAUAGGAGUUCAGUAUAACGCCGUUCGAGAAAUAGUGGAAGACGGAAAUGUGGAUUUACAGAAAAUCCAUACGAAGGAGAACCGAGCAGAUGUUUUGACCAAGCCGAUAAAUACUGAUAAGUUUGUUUGGAGUAGAUCCUCUUGUGGCCUAGCAGAAACGUAGGCAAUAUGAUUAUGGCGAAGCAGAAAAGAUGGUGUGGAGAUUGAUUGAUUUUCAGUCAAAUCUCCAAGUGGGAGAAAUAUCAAAGCCGGUGGUAGCCUAGCCAAAAUCAAAUUGGCUUUGGCAACCACCCAAAGAAAUAAACAUGGCUUUGGCAGCCACCUAAAGAAAUAAACAAAAGAGAAACAGAAGAAAAAGAGAUGAGGGAGGUGCCGCCCAAAGAAAUGAAGCACACGGCUUUGACUUGUUCUAAAAAAAAAAAAAAGAGCCAAAAUUUUUUUCUAUAUAAAGAGGGCUUCCCACCCUCAUUUUUGCAUUCUAUUUAAGAGAGAACAAUCUAGUAUUUUUUGAGAGAAAGAGUUUAGAGAGCUUGAAAUUAUAAGCUCUUGUUAUAGAAAUUUGAUAGUUUGGGUGUAUUGGGGUUUUGGGAAGUGGGCUAAAAUAUUACAAUACUUGUAACUCCUUUUACUAGUAAAAUAUUUCCUUCUGUCUUCGCCCGUGGAUGUAGGCUAAAAGCCGAACCACGUAAUUUCUGAUAUUCUCUUUUGUGCUUGUUCUUUAUUUUUUUUCCAAUUUUAUUUUAGCUGCAGUCCUGCUUCACCUACCAAUUUUCAAAAAGGUAUGACCAUGGUCAUUGCAGUUAGGUUUUGAUGAUUUCAGAUGCUUUUUUAAAAAAAAAUUGUGACUGACGAUUACAAUCAUUACAGCAAUGCUGAUGAGUGAUACAUCACUUGAAAUUUACUUGUCAGUUGCUGAAAUGAUGAAAAAAGACCAUAAACAAUAAGAUUAAUAAUGUUCUCUUGCUGAAUUCUAAUUUUGACUUUCAACUCUUGGUUUUUAUGGAAAGUAAAAUGACUUGUAUAUUGUUUAGAAACUCGAAUCUAACCAGUAACAAACUCGAAUCUAUCAUUAUCUAAACAAAAAACCAAGAGUUUCUAACCAGUAACAAACAAAGCAAUCUUAGUCUUUCAUGGAGCGGAACCUUAGUCUCAGUAUGAUCACUGUCUCAUUAACCCACUGCCUGCUUCUUUGCUUGGUUGUUGCAGCAACAGCAGCAGCAAGCAACAAUAUUAUCACAUACCAACAAGCUCUUCUUGCCCUGAAAGAUCAUAUCACUUAUGAUCCAACCAACCUUUUUGCCCAUAAUUGAACCUCGAAUACCUCUGUUUGUACCUGGAUUGGCAUCACUUGUGAUGUCAAUAGCCAUAGAGUCACAACCUUAGAUAUUUCUCAAUUCAAUCUACAAGGCACCAUCCCUCAACUUGGAAACCUCUCUUCACUCACAACACUUAAUUUUAGUCAUAAUAAGCUUUCUGGAAACGUUCCCUCCUCCAUCUACACCAUGCAUACGCUAAAAUUAUUAUAAGUGAAUAUGAAAUAGUUCACUCAAAGCAAGGAUAAAUGGAUGAAAGUACUACUCAUUUUAUUCACAAUGAGGUUGCCUUUUAUAGGCGUUACAUGAACAAACUUAAUGAAAUAAUAGCAGCUAUUAUUCAGCAAAUACUGCAGCCACUUUCCAGUAACUAUAGCCUAAAGACUAGGUAAACACAAUCUUGCAAAUAACAUUACCAACAAACUUCCUAAAGACUAGGACCAUAAAAGCAACUUAUUGACAUAAGGAAAUUCCAACAAUCCCUCCCUUAAACUAAAUGUUAUUAACAUUCAGUUUAAACAUUCUGCAGAAUCUUCCUCAAAUUGCAAUUUGCAAACUCCAAGUGACUUUCUCAACUUAAAAAAACUAGCCAAUUUGAGGGGUUUAGUAAAGAUGUCAGCAACUUGGUCUUCACUCUUGCAAUAAACAAGAUCAAUGACUUCAUUUUUUGUCAAGUCUCACAAGAAAUGAUAUCUCACAUCUAUGUGCUUGCAUCUUCCAUGUAGAACCGGAUUCUUUGAAAGUUUAAUUGUUGAACUAUUAUCACAGAAGAUUUGUGUUGACUUUGGUUGCUUAAACUGAAGUUCAUGAAGAAUAUUUCUUAGCCAAAGUGCUUGACAUGCACAAGAAGCUGCUGCAACAAACUCAGCUUCAGUUGUUGACAAAGUAACUAUCGGUUGCUUCUUAGAUGACCAUGAAAUAGCUGCUGAACCAAACAUAAAUACAUAUCCAGAUGUGCUUCUUCUGUCAUCCAAAUCUCCAGCAUAAUCAGUGUCUAUAAAGCCAUACAAAUUUGAUUUUUUACCCUUUUUAUAGAACAACCCAAAUUCAGCUGUACCACGCAAGUAUCGAAGAAUUCUUUUUGCAGCUAAAAGAUGAUCCUCUCUUGGACGCUCCAUAUAUCUGCUGAUGGAACUAACUGCAUGCAUUAUAUCAGGUCGAGUUGCCGUUAAGUACAUCAAGCUUCCAACAAUCUGUUUGUAAAGGGUACUAUCAAGCAGGAUCCUUAACAAACUUCAAUCCUUUUUCAAUUGGAGUAGUGACAGAGUUGCAGUUCUUCAUUUGAAAUCUUUCUAAGAUCUCUUUCACAUAUUUCUUUUGACAAAUAAAAUUUCCAGCAUCAGAUUGUAUGACUUCUAAGCCAAGAAAAUAAUGCAGCAAACCAACAUCAGUCAUAUCAAAUUCAAGCAUCAUGGAUUCCUUGAAUUUCUCAAACAUUACUCUGUCAUUUCCCGUGUAAAUCAAAUCAUCUACAUAUAAACAUACCAUAAGCAUUUUCCCAUCAUCUCCAAUUUUUAUGUACAGAGUAUGCUCAUAUGGGCAUUUUCGAAAACCUUCCUCCAAGAAAUAAGCAUCUAUAUGACUAUACCAAGCUCGGGGUGCUUGUUUUAGUCCAUAUAGAGCUUUUUUCAAUUUAUAGACUUUAUGCUCACUGCCUAAUUUCACAUAUCUAGGAGGUUGUUCGAUAAAUACCUCUUCUUGUAGCUCCCUAUGCAAGAAUGCUGAUUUCACGUCCAGUUGAAAAACAGGCCAUGAAUUUUGUGCUGCAAGAGCAAUAAUCAAUCUGAUCGUUUCAAGUCUUGCAACGAGAGAAAAUACUUCUUUAUAAUCCGCGCCGAACUCUUGCUUGUAGCCUUUGGCGACUAGGAGUGCCUUGUAUUUAUCAAUUUCACCAUUUUCCUUCAAUUUUGUCUUGUAAACCCACUUGACUCCUAUUGUCCUCUGCCCCAUUGGAAGUUCAGUCAACUCCCAAGUAUUAUUUUUUUCAAUGGAUGCAAUUUCUUCGUCCAUGGAUUUUAGCCAUUUUUGUUCUUUGACAGCUUCUUUAAAAGUUGUAGGAUCACAUUCUGAAAACAAGGCAAAGUGUAUGAGUGGAUUCUCAAGAGUGUUAAAUCUUGUUACCUCAUAAUCUGACAUCCAUGCAGGCCUUCUUCUAUCACGUUGAGAACGUGAAUCUGUAGCUUCAACUUGUUCAUUAAGUUCAUUUGUUGCUGGUGGAGUUUCUACUGAGACUCUAUUUUGCGGCAGGUCAGGAGCAGAGACUGUUGAAGGCUGAAGUUGCUGUGAAUUUUCUUCAAUUUCACCAUCGAAAUCUGCUGGAAUUUGCUGCCCAAUAGAACUGCAUCUCCACAUCCAUGUCUUCUCUUCAUAAAAAAUGACAUCACGACUAAUGACAAUUUUCUUGAUGAUGGGAUCAUAUAAUUUGUAGGCCUUUGAAUGAUCACUAACACUAAGAAAACUGCACUUUACACCUUUGUCAUCUAAUUUUCUUCUUUUCUCAUCUGGUAUGUGGACAUAUGCUAUACAUCCAAAUACCCGAAAGUGAUCUACUGCCGGCUUACAUCCACUCCAUGCUUCUUCAGGAGUUAUAUUUUGAACAGCUAUUGUGGGGCUUCUGUUCAAAAUAUAAACACUCCAAACAACUGCUUCAGGCCAAAAACUUUUGGGAAGACCACUCCUCCGCAGAAGGCUUCGUACCAUAUUAAGAAUUGUACGAUUUUUCCUCUCGCAUACACCAUUUUGCUGAGGUGUGUAGGCUGUUGUCAAUUGUCUUCUAAUUCCAUGAUUUUUGCAAAAGCUUCCAAAUUCUUGAGAGUUGAACUCUCCACCACGAUCAGUACGCAAUAUUUUAAUUUGGCUGUCAGCUUCUCUUUCAACUAAUGCUUUAAACAUUUAAAAGGCUGUGAAAACUUCCGAUUUUUCUUGCAAGAAAUAAACCCAGGUUUUUCAACUAAAAUCAUCAAUAAUUGAGAUAAAAUAUCGUUUACCUCCAUUUGAUGUUGGCUUGAUUGGCCCACAUAAGUCUGAAUGCACUAGCUCCAGCACUUUCUUUGCCCUCCGGGAUUUUCCUUUUGGAAAAUUAUCUCGAUGUUGCUUACUGACAAUACACUCUUCGCAAAGCUGUGAAGGUUGCUCAAAUUUCUAGACUUCACGGAUAACCAGCUCUCUGGUUCAGUGUCUUCCUUCGUCUUCAACAUGUCUUCAAUAUUAGACAUUCGUUUGACUAAUAACAGACUCUGGUGAGCUUCCGAAAAAUAUUUGCAACUAUAUUCCUUAUUUGAAAGCCCUUUCUUUAGACAAAAACAUGUUUCAUGGCAAAAUUCCUUAUGCUUUAUCAAAGUGCAAACAACUGCAACAAUUAAAUUUGCAGUUCAAUAAUUUAUCCGGUGCAAUACCGAAAGAAAUCGGCAACUUGACUAUGCUCAAAGGGAUAUAUCUCGGCUACAACAAACUCCACGGUAUGCUCAUAAUACUAUACAAAUAUUAUCUUUCUUGAAUACUUUAGAUAAGAUCUUGUAUGUGAGAUUUUUUUGCAUCUAUAUUAAUUUUCCAGGUGAGAUACCGCACGAAAUCGCUAAUCUUCGAAAUCUAGAGGCUUUAGCGCUUGGAAUGAACAACCUAGUUGGUGUGGUAUCAGCUCCAAUAUUCAACAUGUCAACAUUGAAGAUAAUUAUCCUCAUAAAUAACUCCCUCUUCGGAAGUCUUCCAUCAAGAAUAGGCCUUUCACUUCCAACUGUUGAGCAUCUUAACUUGGAACUUAAUAGAUUUUCUGGAACCAUUCCUAGUUCCAUCACCAAUGCUUCUAAGCUCACCCUUCUAAAGUUGGGAGGAAACACAUUUUCGGGCCUUAUUCCGGACACAAUUGGUAAUUUAAGAAACCUUGAGUGGCUCGGCUUGGCUUAUAACAACUUGACAUCUUCAACCUCAAAAUUGAGCUUUCUUUCCUCUUUGGCAAAUUGCAUGAAAUUAAGAUCCUUAAACUUAAUAGGCAAUCCACUUGACGGCUUCCUUCCAAGUUCAAU